rnacentral:rRNA from 1 species
AACGAACGCUGGCGGCAGGCUUAACACAUGCAAGUCGAACGCAUCCUUCGGGGUGAGUGGCAGACGGGUGAGUAACGCGUGGGAACGUGCCCUUCAGUUCGGGAUAACCCAGGGAAACUUGGGCUAAUACCGGAUACGUGCGAGAGCAGAAAGAUUUAUCGCUGAAGGAUCGGCCCGCGUCUGAUUAGCUAGUUGGUGGGGUAAUGGCCCACCAAGGCGACGAUCAGUAGCUGGUCUGAGAGGAUGAUCAGCCACAGUGGGACUGAGACUCGGCCCAAACUCCUGCGGGAGGCAGCAGUGGGGAAUAUUGAACGAUGGGCGCAAGCCUAAUCCAGCCAUGCCGCGUGAGUGAUGAAGGCCUUAGGGUUGUAAAGCUCUUUCGUCCGGGACGAUAAUGACGGUACCGGAAGAAGAAGCCCCGGCUAACUUCGUGCCAGCCGCCGCCGUAA